GAUGAACGCUAGCUACAGGCUUAACACAUGCAAGUCGAAGGGUAACGAGAGGAAAGCUUGCUUUCCUUGUCGACGACCGGCGCACGGGUGAGUAACGCGUAUCCAACCUGCCCCCAACUAGGGAAUAACCUUGCGAAAGUAAGACUAAUACCCUAUAAUUUCCUCAGAUGUCAUCUGACGAGGAAUAAAGAUUUAUCGGUUGUGGAUGGGGAUGCGUCUGAUUAGCUUGUUGGCGGGGUAACGGCCCACCAAGGCAACGAUCAGUAGGGGUUCUGAGAGGAAGGUCCCCCAAAUUGGAACUGAGACACGGUCCAAACUCCUACGGGAGGCAGCAGUGAGGAAUAUUGGUCAAUGGGCGGAAGCCUGAACCAGCCAAGUAGCGUGCAGGAUGACGGCCCUAUGGGUUGUAAACUGCUUUUAUACAGGAAUAAAGUUAGCCACGUGUGGUUAUUUGUAGGUACUGUAUGGAUAAGGACCGGCUAAUUCCGUGCCAGCCGCCGCAGUAA
rnacentral:rRNA from 1 species